AGCAGCCGCGGUAAUUCCAGCUCCAAUAGCGUAUAUUAAAGUUGUUGCAGUUAAAAAGCUCGUAGUUGAAUUUCGGGAUUCUAUCGUUGGUCAGGCUAUUGUCUGUACUGGCGUUUAGAAUUUCUACCUUCUGGGGAACUAUCAUGUUAUUAAUUUAGCGUGGUAGGAAACCAGGACCUUUACCUUGAAAAAUUAGAGUGUUCAAAGCAGGCUUAUGUCUGAAUACAUUAGCAUGGAAUAAUAAAAUAGGACGGUGGUCCUGUUUGUUGGUUUCUGAAUCACCGUAAUGAUUAAUAGGGAUAGUUGGGGGCAUUAGUAUUCAAUUGUCAGAGGUGAAAUUCUUGGAUUUAUUGAAGACUAACUACUGCGAAAGCAUUUGCCAAGGAUGUUUUCAUUAAUCAAGAACGAAAGUUAGGGGAUCGAAGACGAUCAGAUACCGUCGUAGUCUUAACCAUAAACUAUGCCGACUAGGGAUCGGACGAUGUUAACUUUUC
rnacentral:rRNA from 1 species